GAAAGAGGGAGGUGGCAAGGGACUGGAGGAACGCAACGUCACGGCGUCCCGAAGCCGAAAGGCAGUGUCUUGGGAGAGGAGACUUGGUGGAGGCAGCUGCCCCUCCAAAGACUACAUGUCCCAAGAUGCCACGGUGCCCCGGGCGGGGCGGGGCGGGGUGGGCGGAGCUCGGUGGGAGCCGUCCCAGUUGGAGGCCUUGUGUGACAACAGCGUCUCUUUUUAGCGUCCACUUAGCGUCUUCAUUACAGCUUGGCGUCGAAAUUAACAGUUAGAAUUUAGAGUCCUAACUAUUGGAGAAAGCAAAGGAAAUGGGGAUUGACAUAGGGAAGGCGGACGUAGGAGAAGAGCCACAGUUUAGUAAUUUCCUGCUGUAGCAAUUUAAUUUGAAGAAAGAGUGGGACGUAAGGAAAGGGGCAGACCACUCCUAUUUGUGAGGCCCCGUCAAAAGUAUAAAUGAAGGCCCACAUACUUUUUGACUGAAUAUUUAAAAGUUGUAAAUCAAGCUAAAUACUAAAAGAGAUACGUUCUAGCCUCCUAACUUAAAUGUAUCUUCCUAACAGUCUGGAAGAUCAAGUCCGAAUUUAGAAUUCUAGGACUGGAAUUCCAGGCAAGGAGAGCUGCCAAAAUCCUUCUCUACGCGUUCCACUUCCCCUUCACACCGCAUGGGCGGUCACUUGGCCACCACCGGGGCCUUGGGAUGAGCACACGCUCAGGAGAAUGGACCUAAAGAAACGCUUCUGCAAGCCCUGAAAACAACAGUGAUGAAGUAGAACUGCAUGUAACAAUAUGGAUACAUCUGAAAACUACGCUGUUAAAUGAGCAAAACAGAUUGCAGACGGUAGAAACGGGGUUUCACCGUGUCAGCCAGGCUGGUCUUGAACUCCUGAUCUCGUGAUCCACCCACCUCAGCCUCCCAAGGUGCUGGGAUUACAGCACAAGCUCAGCCCAGCACUAUGUUUUUCAAUCCUCUUAGCAUCAGAAUAAUCCAAGGAGCUUAAAAACGUACACACGUAAAACGAUGUGGGAACGUCACCCCCAGGAAUUCUGAUUCUGCUCUUCUAGGGUCAGACACAAGCACAGGGGAGGCAGCAGUUGGUGAAGAAAUAGGAAGUAUAAUAGAUGGGAGAACCAUGUCCUCAUAUGCUAUGUCAGGAUGUCAGCAGAUUAUGUCAGAAAUCGUUUCAUAGGUUGAGAAGAAGAAAUGUACUCAAAGAGCUGUACUUAAGGAAUUAAAACUGAGGCACCCCAACUGCACCUGGACCUGAUUUAGAUGACAAGAUUUUGGAUAUUGAGCCCACACUGCAAUGGGAAGAGACUUUGCAGUCCUUGGAGGGCUCAGUGAGAUGCUGUUCUGAAGUUGCUUUCCUCUGGGGCUGCUACUCUCAUCCUUUGUUCACUUGGUUAAAGAGGUCAGAUGCUUCAUCCAUUGAAAGAUGCAUAAAUUCUAUGAUGUGUUGUGUAUUGACUAUGUGCCAGAGGCUGUAACUGCAAAGUGGAAGGUGCACUCUGCACCCCAAGAACUUCCCAUUAGUGGGGAAGAGACAAGUAUGCUUGGCAAUUGCAAUAACAUGGGAUUGAGGGUAAAGUGUGGUUAAACUCUGGGUGCCUUGGGAGCACUAUGGAGGGUUACAUGAUCCACCUGGGAUACAGAGGGGACAGUGGGAAGGAUGGGAUUUGGGAUGUGUCAAGAAAUAGUAGGCAUGCCUGGGGGAAACUGAUGUCCUGUGAUCUAGCUCUGCUACAAGAAUUCAUUUUUCCUUUAUAAUUCAUAGAAACAAAAUAGACAAUUUAUACCUCAUCAUAUUUUCUAGAAUUAGCAAUACAUAUCUGUCAACACCUUGCAGACAUGUGCAGUAAUAAUUGUAAAAUCUAGCAAAAAGCACAGUAUUAGGCUUUCCUGAAUCAUUUUAAAGUCAUUAAUUCACAGACUCAUAUAAUGUUAGUACUAAAAUAGAACUAAGACAUCUUUUCCAGUGCAAAACCUUCACAGAGGAGGAAACUGAAGCUCAGAGGUCAACAAAAAACAAAACAAAAAACACAACAACACAACCACCAAAAUAUUAGGAAUGUUUUUCUUGAUAUUUCCCUUCUUUACUUGGUUGCUUGGUCACCUGUCAGUGGGUGGGACUAAGACAUCUUCAGAGAAUGUGUUCUGCUUAUGGACUCACAAUUCUUUCAGUUAUCUGUAGGACGAUACCUACGAGUCAGCCCAAUACAGUCCCUCCUUUCCUCCCCAUACAGAUACCCAUUUUUGGUAGAUGCUGUGACAGAAAGGCCACAGGAAGGGGAAAGAGUGUCUGCCCUGGGGUCAAAUUUUGAAAGUUAACUGAUCAACUAAUAUCAAUUCCAUGGACCCAAGAAAGUUUACACUGAGAUGGGAUUUUAAGAUAAUUAUAUUGUAGGAUCUACAUAGGCUGAGACAAUUAUGUUAGUGCUUGAACAGAGGCCGCAUGGAUACUCUGCAACUGGAAAAUGAAGUAUUAAGACAACAAAUGGCUAGUGUUUCAUAAAGUUAAUUUCAAAAGUCUAUGUCACUAAUACAACUGUAAGUGAAAAGCUGUCCUGUAACUCUUUCAAAGCUGACUGAUCAGGAGGUGAAAAGUCUAAUGUAGGAUCAUUUAAUAUUUCAAAAUCUCUGAAAUAUGCCAUGUGAAAAGGGAAGAGUUUAAUAAAUAAUUUUCUGUAUUAAUAAUACAAUACUAUAGCAAUGCUAUCUAACAGAGAUAUAAUAUAAGCCGUGUAUGUUAUGUUAAAUUUUCCAGAAAUGGCAAAACCAAUUUUUAAAAAUCAUAGUAAAUAUACAGAACAUAUUACCAUUUUAACCCUUUUCAUGUGUGCAACUCAGUGAAAUAAAGUACAACUACACUGGUAUGCAACCAUCACUACUAUCCAUUUCCAGAACUUUCCCAUCAUCCCCAAAUGAAAUUCUAUACCCAUUAAACAAUUCUCCCCAUCAUUCCUUCCCACCAGCUGUUGAUAACCUUAUUCUACUUUCUAUUUCUAUGAAUUUGACAAUUCUGGGUACCUUAUACAAGUGGAAUCAUAACAGUAUCUGUCCUUUUGUGCCUAAUUUAUUUCACUUAGCAUGUCUUCAUGGUUCAUCCAUAUUGUAGGAUGUAUCAGAAUUUCAAUCUUCUUUAAGCCUGAGUAAUACUCCAUUGUAUGUAUAUAUAUGUGUGUGUGUAUAUAUAUACUGCAGUUUAUCUAUCCAUUGAUGGACAUUUGGGUUGUUUCCACCUUUUGGCUAUUGUGAAGGUAAAAAAAAAAAUAGUGUAUCUGUUUUACCCAAUUUAUCCAAAGUAUUAUCAUUUCAACCUGUAAUCGAUAUACAAAUUAUUACUGAGAUAUUUUACAUUAGUUGUUUUCUAACGUCUUUGAGAUCUGCUGUGUAUUUCAUAAUUACAGCAUAUCUCCAUUUGAAUUAGCCACACUUUAUGCUCUUAAUAGCCAUACGUGGUUAGUAGUUAAUGUACUGGAUAGCACAGUUCUGUAAGAGAGUUUGCAUUCAAGAUUUUAUAAAUCAUGAUUCCUCUGGAUGCCACCAUGAUGAAUAAUUCCACCUUAUUUUUUUCUCAUAUAGCCCUAUUUUUUAGAGUUAGGCCUCAGAAGUCAGACCAAACUAAAUGCAGAUCCCAGUCUCUUACUAAUUAUCUCAGUGAUGUUGGAAAGAUUACUUAAUCUUUCAAAACCUCAGUUCCGUUUUUCGUAAAGUUGGAAAAAAAGACUGUUUCUCCCAUAGGGUUUCUGUCUGAAUUAAAAUCAAAUAACAUAAAUAAAGUGCUCAAUGUACUUAA